UAAGAUAUAUAUAUAUAUAUAUAUAUGAUAUACCAAGAGGUGUUCUGUACCUGUCUGUCCAGGAGGGAGGAGAGUAGAGCAGGACCAAGAGGUGUUCUGUACCUCCUGUCCAGGAGGG